rnacentral:rRNA from 1 species
GAUGAACGCUGGCGGCGUGCCUAAUACAUGCAAGUCGAGCGAACAGACGAGGAGCUUGCUCCUCUGACGUUAGCGGCGGACGGGUGAGUAACACGUGGAUAACCUACCUAUAAGACUGGGAUAACUUCGGGAAACCGGAGCUAAUACCGGAUAAUAUAUUGAACCGCAUGGUUCAAUAGUGAAAGACGGUUUUGCUGUCACUUAUAGAUGGAUCCACGCCGCAUUAGCUAGUUGGUAAGGUAACGGCUUACCAAGGCAACGAUGCGUAGCCGACCUGAGAGGGUGAUCGGCCACACUGGAACUGAGACACGGUCCAGAAUCCUACGGGAGGCAGCAGUAGGGAAGAUUCCGCAAUGGGCGAAAGCCUGACGGAGCAACGCCGCGUGAGUGAUGAAGGUCUUCGGAUCGUAAAACUCUGUUAUUAGGGAAGAACAAAUGUGUAAGUAACUAUGCACGUCUUGACGGUACCUAAUCAGAAAGCCACGGCUAACUACGUG